rnacentral:tRNA from 6 species
GGUCCCGUGGUGUAGCGGUUAUCACGUCGCCCUGUCACGGCGAAGAUCGCGGGUUCGAUUCCCGUCGGGACCGCCA